rnacentral:rRNA from 1 species
AUUGAACGCUGGCGGCAGGCCUAACACAUGCAAGUCGAACGGUAACAGGAAACAGCUUGCUGUUUCGCUGACGAGUGGCGGACGGGUGAGUAAUGUCUGGGAAGCUGCCUGAUGGAGGGGGAUAACUACUGGAAACGGUAGCUAAUACCGCAUAACGUCGCAAGACCAAAGAGGGGGACCUUCGGGCCUCUUGCCAUCGGAUGUGCCCAGAUGGGAUUAGCUAGUAGGUGGGGUAACGGCUCACCUAGGCGACGAUCCCUAGCUGGUCUGAGAGGAUGACCAGCCACACUGGAACUGAGACACGGUCCAGACUCCUACGGGAGGCAGCAGUGGGGAAUAUUGCACAAUGGGCGCAAGCCUGAUGCAGCCAUGCCGCGUGUAUGAAGAAGGCCUUCGGGUUGUAAAGUACUUUCAGCGGGGAUGAAGGGAGUAAAGUUAAUACCUUUGCUCAUUGACGUUACCCGCAGAAGAAGCACCGGCUAACUCCGUG